rnacentral:lncRNA from 1 species
GACAACUCUCUCUCUCUCCCUGCAGCUCCUUAAACCGGAACCGAAACCGAAACCUACCUCCGACAUCGACGAGGUAGGUUAAUAUGAACUGGGUCCUUCAAUUGAUAUUCACUCUGUUUUAGGGUUGCUACACGGCGUCGAAGUAGUUUGAGGUUGACGCAAAUUUCAGAAGAGGCGGAGGAGACCACAGUAGUGAUCCAUUUGAGGCUAUGUCAACUAGCAGGUUUCGUCACAAACCUACAAUCUCGAUGCGAACCUCUGCCUUCUUCGUCUCUAUCAGGCACUGAAGGCAGUGCCAGCUUCCGAUUUCAGCCUUGUCUCUUCCAAAUUCCAGAAAGAGUGCAAAUGGAGGAGCAGUUCAAGACACUAAUUGUUCUGUCUCACUAGUCGGAGCUACAAUUGCUUUACUGGAUAUGUAUUUUCAUCAGCUAUGCAGUUCCUAAAACUCUAGUUCUUCUUUUUGCAGACAGGAAGAUUCAGUCAAUUUUAGGAUGAAGCAUCUAAGAAUUGUCACAUACUUGAAGUUGUCUCAGGAAGAUUCAGUCAAUUUGUGGUGAGAAAUUGGUGAUUGCUUGUCAUGAAGGGCAAGACCAUUUGAGGCUUAGGAUAUGGUCUUCAAAGGGAGACUCUUUGUAUUUCUGCUAAUUCUUCAAGCACAGAGAAGUACACAAUAGAGUUGUUGAGUGCAAUGGGUAAGAUGGCAUUGAAGAUAGAAGAACUGGUUGGAAGCCAAGUUUGCGGCGUAUGCAAAAGUAAAUGUGUCCCCCUUAUGAUGAUGGUACUGGUGAGAAUGACCAAGAAAUAGAUAUUGAAGAUGAGGAGAAUUUUGGCUAUAUGUAUUAAUCUUGUUAGGUUUUCGUAAGCUAACUACUUAUUAGGACGUUAUUUAUCUUAUUUUAACAUACGAAUCUUCUUACUUGCAUAAGUAUUUUUAGUUGAAGACUCAUGAAGUAUAUUUAUGGAAGUGUCUACUUUGUUUAUGUUAGUGUAGUUGG